AUUGAACGCUGGCGGCAGGACUAACACAUGCAAGUCGAACGAGUGGCGGACGGGUGAGUAAUGUCUGGGAAACUGCCUGAUGGAGGGGGAUAACUACUGGAAACGGUAGCUAAUACCGCAUAACAUCGGAGGUGCCCAGAUGGGAUGCGCUUGUUGGUGGGGGAACGGCUCACCAAGGCGACGAUCCCUAGCUGGUCUGAUCGGAUGACCAGCCACACUGGAACUGAGACACGGUCCAUACUCCGACGGGAGGCAGCAGUGGGGAAUAUUGCACAAUGGGCGCAAUCCGUAUGCAGCCAUGCCGCGUGUAUGAAGAAGGCCUUCGGGUUGUAAAGCACUUGCAGCGGGGAGGCGUUACCCGCAGAAGAAGCACCGGCUAACUCCGUGCCAGCAGCCGCGGUAAUAC
rnacentral:rRNA from 1 species